rnacentral:rRNA from 1 species
UACGGGGGGAGCAAGCGUUGUUCAGAUUUACUGGGCGUAAAGGGCGGGUAGGCGGCCACCGCAAGUCGACUGUGAAAUCUCCGGGCUUAACCCGGAAAGGUCAGCCGAUACUGCGGGGCUAGAGUGCAGAAGGGGCAACUGGAAUUCUCGGUGUAGCGGUGAAAUGCGUAGAUAUCGAGAGGAACACCUGCGGCGAAGGCGGGUUGCUGGGCUGACACUGACGCUGAACUGCGAAAGCUAGGGGAGCGAACGGG